CGCUUUCACUCCUACGGGAGGCAGCAGUGGGGAAUAUUGCACAAUGGGGGAAACCCUGAUGCAGCCAUGCCGCGUGUGUGAAGAAGGCCUUCGGGUUGUAAAGCACUUUCAGUAGGGAGGAAGGUAGUGUAGUUAACACCUGCAUUAUUUGACGUUACCUACAGAAGAAGCACCGGCUAACUCCGUGCCAGCAGCCGCGGUAAUACGGAGGGUGCGAGCGUUAAUCGGAAUUACUGGGCGUAAAGCGCAUGCAGGCGGCCUGUUAAGUCAGAUGUGAAAGCCCGGGGCUUAACCUCGGAAUUGCAUUUGAAACUGGCAGGCUAGAGUCUUGUAGAGGGGGUAGAAUUUCAGGUGUAGCGGUGAAAUGCGUAGAGAUCUGAAGGAAUACCAGUGGCGAAGGCGGCCCCCUGGACAAAGACUGACGCUCAGAUGCGAAAGCGUGGGGAGCAAACAGGAUUAGAUACCCUGGUAG
rnacentral:rRNA from 1 species